UAGUCCACGCCGUAAACGAUGAUUACUGGAUGUGUGCGAUAGACCGUACGCGUCUGAGCGAAAGCGUUAAGUAAUCCACCUGGGGAGUACGAUCGCAAGAUUGAAACUCAAAGGAAUUGACGGGGGGCCCGCACAAGCGGUGGAGCAUGUGGUUUAAUUCGAUGAUACGCGAGGAACCUUACCAGGGCUUAAAUGCAGAAUGACAGGUUUAGAGAUAGACUUUUCUUCGGACAUUUUGCAAGGUGCUGCAUGGUUGUCGUCAGCUCGUGCCGUGAGGUGUCAGGUUAAGUCCUAUAACGAGCGCAACCCUUGCCGUCAGUUGCCAGCAAGUAAUGUUGGGGACUCUGACGGGACUGCCGGUGCAAACCGAGAGGGAAGGGUGGGGGACGACGUCAAAUCAUCACGGCCCUUACGUCCUGGGGCUACACACGUGCUACAAUGGCCGGUACAAUGAGCAGCCACGUCGCAAGGGCGGGAGCGAAUCUA
rnacentral:rRNA from 1 species